GUGCCAGCCGCCGCGGUAAGACGAACCGUGCGAACGUUGUUCGGAAUCACUGGGCUUAAAGGGCGCGUAGGCGGCUUGCCAAGUCAGGGGUGAAAUCCAGCAGCUUAACUGUUGAAGUGCCUUUGAUACUGGCGAGCUCGAGGGAGGUAGGGGUAUGCGGAACUUCUGGUGGAGCGGUGAAAUGCGUUGAUAUCAGAAGGAACGCCGGUGGCGAAAGCGGCGUACUGGACCUCUUCUGACGCUGAGGCGCGAAAGCUAGGGGAGCAAACGGGAUUAGAAACCCCCGUAGUCC
rnacentral:rRNA from 1 species